CCCGAAAAGUACGUCUCAGUUCGGAUUGGAGUCUGCAACUCGACUCCAUGAAGCUGGAUUCGCUAGUAAUCGCGCAUCAGCCAUGGCGCGGUGAAUACGUUCCCGGGCCCUUGUACACACCGCCCGUCAAGCCAUGGAAGCCGGGGGUGCCUGAAGUGCGUGACCGCAAGGAGCGCCCUAAGGUAAAACCGGUGACUGGGGCUAAGUCGUAACAAGGUAGC
rnacentral:rRNA from 1 species